GCCAGGUGUGGUGGUGCACUCCUGUAAUCCCAGCUACUUAGGAGGCUGAGGCAUGACAAUCGCUUGAGCCCAGGAGGCAGAGGUUGCAGUGAGCCAAGACUGCAUCACUGCACUUCAGCCUGGGCAACGAAGUGAGACCUUGUCUCAA
rfam:Homo sapiens chromosome 5, GRCh38 reference primary assembly.